AGAGUUUGAUCAUGGCUCAGAUUGAACGCUGGCGGAAUGCUUUACACAUGCAAGUCGAACGGCAGCACGGACUUCGGUCUGGUGGCGAGUGGCGAACGGGUGAGUAACAUAUCGGAACGUAUCCAAUAAUGGGGGAUAACUAAUCGAAAGGUUGGCUAAUACCGCAUACGCCCUGAGGGGGAAAGCUAGGGAUCGUCAAGACCUGGCGUUAAUGGAGCGGCCGAUAUCUGAUUAGCUAGUUGGUGGGGUAAAGGCCCACCAAGGCGACGAUCAGUAGCUGGUCUGAGAGGACGACCAGCCACACUGGAACUGAGACACGGUCCAGACUCCUACGGGAGGCAGCAGUGGGGAAUUUUGGACAAUGGGCGCAAGCCUGAUCCAGCCAUUCCGCGUGAGUGAAGAAGGCCUUCGGGUUGUAAAGCUCUUUCGCAAGGGAAGAAAACUUAUCCUCUAACAUAGGAUGAGGUUGACGGUACCUUGAUAAGAAGCACCGGCUAACUACGUGCCAGCAGCCGCGGUAAU
rnacentral:rRNA from 1 species